rnacentral:rRNA from 1 species
GAGGAAUAUUGGGCAAUGCCCGCAAGGGUGACCCAGCAACGCCGCGUGGAGGAUGAAUGUCGUAAGAUUGUAAACUCCUGUUAGAGGGGAAGAAUAGUACCGGUUGGACCGGUAUAUGACUGUACCCUCAGAGAAAGCCCCGGCUAACUACGUGCCAGCAGCCGCGGUAAUACGUAGGGGGCAAGCGUUGUCCGGAUUUACUGGGUGUAAAGGGCGCGCAGGCGGGAUAAAAAGUCAGUGGUGAAAUCCUACAGCUUAACUGUAGAACUGCCUUUGAUACUUUUAUUCUUGAGUUCGGAAGAGAGAGACGGAAUUCCAGGUGUAGUGGUGAAAUACGUAGAUAUCUGGAAGAACGCCAGUUGCGAAGGCGGUCUCUUGGUCCGACACUGACGCUGAGGCGCGAAAGCGUGGGGAGCAAA